GGGUGAUGGAGGUGGCCAAGCUGGUUGCCCCUGGUUACUGCACACUGGCGGUUUCUUCAUUAGGAUGUUGUGUGUUGUCCUGUGUGGACGCGGUGUCUAAAGCGGCCCGCAGAGGGCGCUACAGGCGCACUCCGAAAUAAAAUGAAACUGAAUCUUUCCCAUUUCAACAGAAAGCGUCUUUUAUUGUUCCAAGCCACGUUGGGUAAUAUUUAUCCAACGGAGGCUAUUUCAAAACUGUGUUAGUGACCAGAAGCAGCUGAUUAUUGACUCCCCCUGUUUCCAGUUAGCCCUCAGUUUGGAAAUCAGUCACACAACUGAAGGGGAGGAGGUGAGGACAUCCUUGAGUGGGUUCUUAUCGGCGUUGGAGUUGAAUAUUGCUUACCAUUGACACACUGGUGUAUAGAGGCCUGAAAACAACUCGUGGAUCCAAAGCAACCUUUGGAUUAGUACAACCUGGUUCUCCUCAGAAUGGUACCGUCAACCGUGAGGCGAACCUUUACUUUGUAAUCAUCCGGAAAUGUUUGAAAUGACGUUUUCUACUCGGCUGUCAAGACGGACUGGGCUUGCUUAUUAUUGAUUAUUGGCAACGCGGCCGUCAAACCAUAGCAGCCCCACAACCGCUCCAGAGGAGUUCUACCGGUUCUCCACACACCCAGCGGGCCGGGCCCGGGGAGUAGGCCGGGCUACGGGAUGUGUUCGGUGGACAAGCCGCCCGCCUGCAGGCUGUUGCUGGACGACACCGUGCCGCUGGCCGCGGUGAUCGAAGCCAGCCAGACCCUCCAGUCUCACACGGAGUACAUCAUCAGAGUCCAGAGGGGUGUGUCUUCAGAGAACAGCUGGCAGGUGAUUCGUCGUUACAGUGACUUCGACAUGCUACAUAGCAGUCUCCAGGUUUCAGGGAUCAGUCUGUCCUUCCCACCUAAGAAGCUGAUAGGAAACAUGGACAGGGAGUUUAUAGCAGAGAGACAGAAGGGCCUACAGGCCUACUUGGACUACAUUACCCACAAUCCCCUGCUUUCCAGCUCAGAAGCUGUCAAGAAGUUUCUGGACCCUAACAGCUACUCCUCCAACUACACAGAGAUCGCCCUCCAGCAGGUGUCCAUGUACUUUCGGUCGGACUCCCGGUGGGAGGUGGUGGAACCUCUUAAAGACAUCGGGUGGAGACUCAGGAAGCAGUACUUCCUGAUCCGGAGCCGGGAACAGCCCAAAGACAGGAACCUGCUGAGCUGGGUGGACCUGGGACCUGAUAAGUUUCUGUCAGAUAAAGACCUGCAGGCAGUCAUGAAGCUGCUGACCUCCAUGAAUCACCCCUGUAUCGGUCCGCUGUUGUUCUCCAGCACCAGUGAGUCUUCAGCCCUGGUCAUCAGACCCUUCAGUGAGAGAGGAACGCUGCGGGACCUCAUCUACAAGGUGAAGGUGAAGGAUGUCUUCCUGAAGAAGUACUGUAACCCCAAGAAGAGCGAAGGACUGGAGCUCCGCCAAAUCCAGCACUACGGACGACACAUACUGGAGGGUCUCCGGUUCCUCCAGGACCAGGGGCUUCCCUACGGCCACCUCCAGUCCUCCAACGUGCUGCUGGAGCAGACGCCCCCGGCGACCUCUGACCUCCUGGCCUGCCGCCUGCUGGAUGUGGAGAACAGCCUGCUGGGGCUGCCUGCCUUCUACCGCCCGCUGGUCGCCCUCAACCGCCGCAUCAACACCACAGAGUGUGUAGACGUCUUUUCCUUCGGCCUGGUUCUGUAUGAGAUGACCUACGGCCACCCCCCCGAGCCCCCCCCUGUGGACCAGUUUCCCCCCUCCCCCCACCCUGCCAUAGUUUCUGUGCUCCAGUCCAUCCUCUCAACAGAAGCGUUUAAAACUGGACCACCAACCGUCAGUCAACUCAUACAGACACAGCUGUUUCGAGACGUCCAGAUGCCACAGUCAGACAAACAGCCGUUUAAGAUCCCCAGCAGACUGAAGGAGGCGCUGCGCUCCUCGAAGGAGCUCCUGGAGAGGAGGCUACAGGAGGAGCAGCGACAGCUGAACCAGCAUCGCCGUCUGACCCGAGCUCAGUCCCACCACGGAUCAGAGGAACAGAAGAAGAGACGCAAACUCCUGGCCCGGAAGAAGUCCCGACAGUCGGCUUAUGAAAACGAAGAGGAAACAUCUGUCAAAUACAACAACAACUCUGGUUCUGGAGCAAGCUCACCUCCGACAUCGCCCUCACCCCCCACACCCCUCUCGGCCACAGAGCAUGCACCGUUCUGAUGGUAAAGUACUCAUGGUGAUGAUGAUGAUGAUGAUGAUGAUGAUGAUGAUGAUGGUCUCUUUAAGCUGCCAUGCAACCUUCCUCCAAGCCACCACCUGGCCCCCUUAUUACUGUUAAGCGUACUACAAGUAUACCACAGUAUCAGAGUACUACCCCUGUUUUGAGUACUUCUAAGGUACUUCUAAAGUACACAGUGGUACUUAAAGCUAACCGUGCUAGCAGCUAGCCGUACUAGCAGCUCAGGUACUAACAGCUAGCCCUACUGGCAGCUAGCCAUGCUGGCAGCUAGCCAUGCUGGCAGCUAGCCCUACUAGCAGCCACCCGUGCUAGCAGCAAGCCAUACUAGAAGCUAGCCAAACUAGCAGCUAGCCAAACUAGCAGCUACCCAAAGUAGUGCUAGCCAUGCUGGCAGCGAGCCAUACUAGCAGCUAACAAUGCUGGCAGCUAGCUGUACUAGAAGCUAGCCUAGCCUAACCAGCGUCUGCUUCACGUCCCUUAUAGCAGCUCUUCUUCAUAUCCUACGUCGUUCUGUGUCAGGGGAACACCUCCGCCCUAAACCUCCAGGUCCUCCUGAAUGAGCUCCACCUCCUCCACUACCUCCUCCUUCCGUCUUUCUGUCCGUCUUCUAUGUUUUCCUGUCUGUCUUUUCUCAGUCCUAAUAUAUAAAUAGAUAAAAAGUUGGUAGGUUCGUUCAGGUAGGAGGGGGGUAGGUUUACCAUGGUUAGGAGGUAGGUAGGUUAGCCAUGGGUAGGAGGUAGGUAGGUUCACCACGGGUAGGAGGUAGGGUAGGUAGGUUCACCAUGGGUAGGAGGUAGGUAGGUUCACCACGGGUAGGAGAUAGGAUAGGUAGGUUCACCACGGGUAGUCCCAGCGGUCAGUCCAGCGUAGCCAUGGAAACGGCCUCAGUGAUGCUGCGCUUCACCCCCACGGUCGUUAACGCUCUUCACGUCCUCCGAUCUCUGCAGGACUACAGGCUCCUCCUCCUCCGCCCCCUGCCCCCCCCGCUCCUCCAGGCUGCCAGCCCCCGCCCCUGCCCUCCUCCAACGGGGGGGCGGGCCGGGGGGCCCUCCUCAGCUCCAUCCAGGGCUUCAGUAAGGGCCACCUGAAGA